AUGAACGCUGGCGGCGUGCCUAAUACAUGCAAGUCGAGCGCACGGACGAGAAGCUUGCUUCUCUGAUGUUAGCGGCGGACGGGUGAGUAACACGUGGAUAACCUACCUAUAAGACUGGGAUAACUUCGGGAAACCGUAGCUAAUACCGGAUAAUAUUUUGAACCGCAUGGUUCAAAAGUGAAAGACGGUCUUGCUGUCACUUAUAGAUGGAUCCGCGCUGCAUUAGCUAGUUGGUAAGGUAACGGCUUACCAAGGCAACGAUGCAUAGCCGACCUGAGAGGGUGAUCGGCCACACUGGAACUGAGACACGGUCCAGACUCCUACGGGAGGCAGCAGUAGGGAAUCUUCCGCAAUGGGCGAAAACCUGACGGAGCAACGUCGCGUGAGUGAUGAAGGUCUUCGGAUCGUAAAACUCUGUUAUUAGGGAAGAACAUAUGUGUAAGUAACUGUGCACAUCUUGACGGUACCUAAUCAGAAAGCCACGGCUAACUACGUG
rnacentral:rRNA from 1 species